rnacentral:tRNA from 1 species
GGAUUGUGACUCAGUGGUAGAGCGUUCACCUAGUAUGUGUGAGGCCCUGGGUUCCAUCCUCAGCACCA